UGCUAGCGGCUAGCUGCUGGCUAGCUUACAUAGCCGCCGGUGCAACGUGGAGCCACAGCGCCACCCAGCGGCGGGGACGGUUAAGCGCAGCGACCCGGCCAGGCCAAAGGAAAAACCAUGAACAGCAUCACAACGCUUGGUGAAUGAAGAGAUUAUGAGGCUUCCACACAACCAGCCAAGGAUCAGGACAUGCACCUACUCCGAUGUUCUGCAUGUUUUCAUUCACUCUGUGCUCAUUUUACAUGUUUGUUAUUAUAGUUUGUGUUCUGUUCCAUAUUAUUUAGCAUUUUUCUGUUUCUUGUGCCUAUGUGAUCUUUUUUAUUCUCCUACUGUACAUGUUACUGUACAGUAAAUCAAUCAUAUACAUUGAA